GAUGAACGCUGGCGGUAUGCUUAACACAUGCAAGUCGAACGAAAGUCUUCGGAUUUUAGUGGCGGACGGGUGAGUAACGCGUGAGGAUCUGCCUAUAGGUUGGGGACAACAGAUGGAAACGUCUGCUAAUACCUAAUGUGCCGAGAGGUGAAAGCUUUAGUGCCUGUAGAUGAGCUCGCGUCCGAUUGGCUAGUUGGUAGGGUAAAGGCUUACCAAGGCGACGAUCGGUAGCUGGUCUGAGAGGAUGAUCAGCCACACUGGGACUGAGACACGGCCCAGACUCCUACGGGAGGCAGCAGUGGGGAAUUUUCCGCAAUGGGCGAAAGCCUGACGGAGCAAUACCGCGUGCGGGACGAAGGCUUUUGGGUCGUAAACCGCUUUUGUUAGGGAAGAACACAAUGACGGUACCUAACGAAUCAGCAUCGGCUAACUCCGUGCCAGCAGCCGCGGUAAUACGGAGGAUGCAAGCGUUAUCCGGAAUUAUUGGGCGUAAAGCGUCCGCAGGUGGUUUAUCAAGUCUGCUGUUAAAUCGUAGGGCUUAACCCUAUAAAGGCAGUGGAAACUGAGAGACUAGAGUACGGUAGGGGUAGCGGGAAUUCCCAGUGUAGCGGUGAAAUGCGUAGAUAUUGGGAAGAACACCAGCGGCGAAGGCGCGCUACUGGGCCGAAACUGACACUCAUAGACGAAAGCUAGGGGAGCGAAAGGGAUUAGAUACCCCUGUAGUCCUAGCUGUAAACGAUGACAACUAGGUGUUGCGCG
rnacentral:rRNA from 1 species